rnacentral:misc_RNA from 1 species
UGAGGAAACCAGCCCUGUCCCUCAG